AAUGAACGCUAGCUACAGGCUUAACACAUGCAAGUCGAGGGGUAACGAGAGGAAAGCUUGCUUUCCUUGUUGACGACCGGCGCACGGGUGAGUAACGCGUAUCCAACCUGCCCCCAACUAGGGAAUAACCUUGCGAAAGUAAGACUAAUACCCUAUAAUUUCCUCCGAUGUCAUCUGACGAGGAAUAAAGAUUUAUCGGUUGUGGAUGGGGAUGUGUCUGAUUAGCUUGUUGGCGGGGUAACGGCCCACCAAGGCAACGAUCAGUAGGGGUUCUGAGUGGGAGGUCCCCCACAUUGGAACUGAGACACGGUCCAAACUCCUACGGGAGGCAGCGUUGAGGAAUAUUGGUCAAUGGGCGGAGGCCUGAUCCAGCCAAGUAGCGUGCAGGAUGACGGCCCUAUGGGUUGUAAACUGCUUUUAUACAGGAAUAAAGUUAGCCACGUUUGGUUAUUUGUAGGUACUGUAUGAAUAAGGACCGGCUAAUUCCGUGCCAGCCGCCGCGGUAA
rnacentral:rRNA from 1 species